CACUUGACAGUACAUCAGCAUGGAGGAGAUGAGGCCCAGGACCUGGAGGAGAAAGAGGAGGGUGUUACCCAGAUGGACUGAGCGGACGUCCCCUCCCCCUCUGGGCACUACCUGGCUACAGUGACCAGCUGCCCCCUUAUCCCCUGGGGCUUUAGCGGCUGGAUUCAGAAAAGCAGCCUGACUCCCUCUGGGAACUGCCAGGCAGGACCCCCUGGAGGAGUAACCCGAGGGGGCAGGAGGCCGGGGGAAGAAUCCUUAGUGAGGUUGCAGGAACUCGUGCCCACGGCAGGCGCCUGGCCAGGCUUACAGUGAAACCCGCGCUGGUGCUGGACACAGAACAGCAGCUCACAGGCAGGGGAAGGUUGGACAAAGGCCUGCGGGAGCGACCAGGAGACCCAAUCCCACCCGGAGCUGCAGCCGGCCGGGGAUGUUACUAGUAACCAGAAGGGUUUCGUCAGGGGAAGGAGAAGGAUCCGGGGAACUACACAGGCCAGUGAGCCUCACCUCAGGCCCUGGCAAAAUCAUGGAGCAGGUCCUCCAGGAACCAAUCCUGAAGCACUAGGAGGAGAGGAAAGUGAUCGGGAACAGUCAGCGUGGAUUCACCCAGGGCAGGUCACGCCUGAGGAGCUGACUGGCUCUGUGAAUGAGGGGAAAGCAGCGGACGGGUUAUUCCUUGACUUUAGCAAAGCUUUUGAUCGUCUCCUACCGGCAAGUUACAGACGUAUGGGCUGCAUGAAGGGACUACAAGCUGGCUAGCUCGUCGGGCUCAACGGGAAAGGAUCAACGGCUCCAUGCCUAGCUGGCAGCCGGGAUCAGGCGGAGCCCCAAGGGUCAGUCCCGGGGCUGGUUUUGUUCAAUAUCUUGGGGUGGAUGGU